UUGGCUAUUUAAAGAAACAGGAAAGUUUGUC
rnacentral:piRNA from 1 species